AAUGUACUCCCUCCAUCCCAUAUUAAUUGUCGCUCAAACGGAUGUAUCUAGCACUGAAAUAUGUCUAGAUACAUCCGUUUGAGCGACAAUUAAUAUGGGACGGAGGGAGUAUUUG
rnacentral:pre_miRNA from 1 species